GAGACAUCUUGGGCUUUGACAUUAUUGACUGACAGAGGAACAGAAAUCAUAACACAUGUUGAAAUAGAGGCUCACUUGUCAGAAGCAGAUAAAGUAAGGUGCUGUGCACAGUUUAUCAAGAAAGGAAAAUUACAGAGGUUUAGUCACUAAACUAUUACUCUUCACACUGCAUUCUCAGGAGGCAAAAGUACAAUUUACAGGCAAGUAGAUCACAACAUUUUUUUUUUUCAUUUUUAUGACACACACUGCAUAAUAUUCAC
rnacentral:lncRNA from 1 species